rnacentral:rRNA from 1 species
CCUACGGGAGGCAGCAGUAAGGAAUAUUGGUCAAUGGAGGCAACUCUGAACCAGCCAUGCCGCGUGCAGGAAGACUGCCCUAUGGGUUGUAAACUGCUUUUAUCCGGGAAUAAACCUACUUACGUGUAAGUAGCUGAAUGUACCGGAAGAAUAAGGAUCGGCUAACUCCGUGCCAGCAGCCGCGGUAAUACGGAGGAUCCAAGCGUUAUCCGGAUUUAUUGGGUUUAAAGGGUGCGUAGGCGGCCUGUUAAGUCAGGGGUGAAAGACGGUAGCUCAACUAUCGCAGUGCCCUUGAUACUGAUGGGCUUGAAUGGACUAGAGGUAGGCGGAAUGAGACAAGUAGCGGUGAAAUGCAUAGAUAUGUCUCAGAACACCGUAUUGCGAAGGCAGCUUACUAUGGUCUUAUUGACGCUGAGGCACGAAAGCGUGGGGAUCAAACAGGUAUUAGAUACCCUGGUAGUCCACGCCCUAAACGAUGAACCACUCGCUGGUUGGCGAUACACACGUCGACGCGGCGUAGACGAAACGACGUUAAGUUAGUUCCGUACCGUAACGGGGUACGGUACCGGUUCCCGGACCGUAACGGGUUAGGUUAAACGUAACGAAGGAAGUUAGGACGGCGNGAGACGCGCGACGGACGACGACGGAGGGAGGAGG